CCCUUAGAUGUUCUGGGCCGCACGCGCGCUACACUGAACAGUUCAACAAGUCUUAACCUUGGCCGAUAGGUCUGGGUAAUCUUUGAACGCUGUUCGUGAUUGGGAUAGACCUUUGCAAUUAUGGGUCUUCAACGAGGAAUUCCUAGCAAACGCAAGUCAUCAGCUUGCAUUGAUUACGUCCCUGCCCUUUGUACACACCGCCCGUCGCACCUACCGAUUGAAUGGUCCGGUGAAAUCUCGGGACGGCGGCUUGGUCGCUUGCGUCCGACUGCUGAAACUUGAUUAAACCAUAUCAUUUAGAGGAAGGUGAAGUCGUAACA
rnacentral:rRNA from 1 species